rnacentral:rRNA from 1 species
UAGGGAAUCUUCGGCAAUGGACGAAAGUCUGACCGAGCAACGCCGCGUGAGUGAAGAAGGUUUUCGGAUCGUAAAACUCUGUUGUUAGAGAAGAACAAGGACGUUAGUAACUGAACGUCCCCUGACGGUAUCUAACCAGAAAGCCACGGCUAACUACGUGCCAGCAGCCGCGGUAAUACGUAGGUGGCAAGCGUUGUCCGGAUUUAUUGGGCGUAAAGCGAGCGCAGGCGGUUUCUUAAGUCUGAUGUGAAAGCCCCCGGCUCAACCGGGGAGGGUCAUUGGAAACUGGGAGACUUGAGUGCAGAAGAGGAGAGUGGAAUUCCAGGUGUAGCGGUGAAAUUCGUAGAUAUAUGGAGGAACACCAGUGGCGAAGGCGGCUCUCUGGUCUGUAACUGACGCUGAGGCUCGAAAGCGUGGGGAGCAAACAGG